UACGGGGGGGGGCAAGCGUUGUUCGGAAUUACUGGGCGUAAAGGGCUCGUAGGCGGCCAACUAAGUCAGACGUGAAAUCCCUCGGCUUAACCGGGGAACUGCGUCUGAUACUGGAUGGCUUGAAUCCGGGAGAGGGAUGCGGAAUUCCAGGUGUAGCGGUGAAAUGCGUAGAUAUCUGGAGGAACACCGGUGGCGAAGGCGGCAUCCUGGACCGGCAUUGACGCUGAGGCGCGAAAGCUAGGGGAGCAAACGGG
rnacentral:rRNA from 1 species